rnacentral:lncRNA from 1 species
ACUUCACCUAAUUCCUUUCCUCUUCUAGCCUGACCCCCAGGCUGGUCACAUCCCUCCUGCCAUUCUUCAACUGAUUAGAAGAUGAAGCCAUGCAUUCUCAUCUCCAGGUUAGUAAUCCAGGGGCUAAACAUCUGCGAGAUGAAGGAUAACCCACUUGGUGCCUUUCCCCAUUGACCUCAUCCCAGGAACUGGAAGGCUGCCCCACCCGAAUCCAGCUCUCAAGGACUAAGAACCAGUCUUCAGGCUGGGCAGGAUUUUGCUUUGAUGGAGAAGCUGAGCAGAACCCGGGGAUAAAGUAUUGUACCUUCUUCACAACUGUGGCAGGUAAGUGGUUCAAAUAUUAGUCUCCUCAUUCACAAAAGAAGAAACUGAAGCUUUGGGAAAUUGACUUGCCCAAAGUCAUGCAAUCGGUAAGAAUGAAAGUUAGAAC